CCCUUAGAUGUUCUGGGCCGCACGCGCGCUACACUGACAGAGCCAACGAGUUUUUCUCCUUGACCGAAAGGUCUGGGUAAUCUUGUUAAACUCUGUCGUGCUGGGGAUAGAGCAUUGCAAUUAUUGCUCUUCAACGAGGAAUGCCUAGUAAGCGCAAGUCAUCAGCUUGCGUUGAUUACGUCCCUGCCUUUUGUACACACCGCCCGUCGCUACUACCGAUUGAAUGGCUAAGUGAGGCUUUCGGACUGCCUUAGGGAGGGUGGCAACGCCCACCCAGAGGCGGAAAGUUAUCCAAACUUGGUCAUUUAGAGGAAGUAAAAGUCGUAACA
rnacentral:rRNA from 1 species